rnacentral:lncRNA from 10 species
AAUAUGCAUUGAGAAACUAUGUUGUGCUAAAUCUCAGCACAGAAAGAAGUAGGAUCUUAUCGUGAUCCUUGAGAAAUUUCCAGUCUAUGAUAUUUAAUUUCUCAUUAAUUUUCAAUUCCUCACUAUGAGUUUGUUAUGUGUAUGAUAUUCAAACUCACAGUAUUCAACUGAACUUUUAAUAAAUCCUUUUUACUAGUCAUACUUAAAAAAUCCAGGAGACUAGAGUCAUGCUCUUUAACAUUCUAAGUGAUUGGUUUGUGCAGUGAACCAAAUCUGAGCAGUUCCAAUGUUUGAAAAUGUAAUGACUUAAAUAGAAAUACUAAUAUACCCUUCAAGGUCAUGAAACAGUUCUUUGGCCUUAGGAAACAUGUAACUUCUGUGGGCUCAUGUAGGUCAAUUUGAUAGACCUCAUAUAACCUUAAGAUGCAUCUUGCUUUUUCCA